rnacentral:piRNA from 1 species
UGGAGCGCGAUAUGCAGUAGCUGAGCACUU